UAAUACAGAGGGUGCAAGCGUUGUUCGGAAUUAUUGGGCGUAAAGCGCGUGUAGGCGGCUUGGCAAGUCAGAUGUGAAAGCCCUCGGCUUAACCGAGGAAGUGCGUCUGAAACUGCUGAGCUUGAGUGUCGGAGAGGAUGGCGGAAUUCCGCAAGUAGAGGUGAAAUUCGUAGAUAUGCGGAGGAACACCGGUGGCGAAGGCGGCCAUCUGGACGACUACUGACGCUGAGACGCGAAAGCGUGGGGAGCAAACAGGAUUAGAUACCCUGGUAGUCCACGCUGUAAACGAUGAGAACUAGGUGUCGUGGGUGUUGACCCCCGCGGUGCCGCAGCUAACGCAUUAAGUUCUCCGCCUGGGAAGUACGGCCGCAAGGCUA
rnacentral:rRNA from 1 species